rnacentral:misc_RNA from 1 species
AGUUAUUUCUGUUCUUGCAGUUCUUGCUAUUCUUUCUUGCAUUUUGGGUCGAAUAUGCUCCCGUCGAGCAGUGGCUCCUCCAAACACCUUCAAUCAUAAAGGGUGUCUAGGGUGGGUGAAGCGGAGGAUCCGGAGGAGCAAGUGGUGCAGGGGUGGAGAUGUUGAAAUGGGAGUCAAUAAGGUGAUGGCUCUUGGUGAUCAGGAUAAGCAAGAUGGUAAUAAUAAGGUUAAAGAUAAUGAUCAGGUUGAUCAGAAAUUACCACCCCCAGCUUGAUUGUUGUUGUUCCAUUCAUCUUUAUAAUUUGAUUUACUAGAACAAGAAACACUUACUCUCUCUGUUUUAACAUGAAUUCAAGACGCAGAUAUAUAGAAUUUAUGUAAG